rnacentral:rRNA from 1 species
GAUUAUGGCUCAGGAUGAACGCUAGCGACAGGCUAACACAUGCAAGUCGAGGGGCAUCACGGGAGUAGCAAUACAACUGGUGGCGACCGGCGCACGGGUGAGUAACGCGUAUGCAACCUACCUAUCAGAGGGGAAUAACCCGGCGAAAGUCAGACUAAUACCGCAUAAAACAGGGGCACCGCAUGGUGUAUUUGUUAAAGAAAUUCGCUGAUAGAUGGGCAUGCGUUCCAUUAGGUAGUUGGUGAGGUAACGGCUCACCAAGCCGACGAUGGAUAGGGAACUGAGAGGUUGGUCCCCCACACUGGUACUGAGACACGGACCAGACUCCUACGGGAGGCAGCAGUGAGGAAUAUUGGUCAAUGGGCGGGAGCCUGAACCAGCCAAGUCGCGUGAAGGAAGAAGGAUCUAUGGUUCGUAAACUUCUUUUGCAGGGGAAUAAAGUGCAGGACGUGUCCUGUUUUGUAUGUACCCUGAGAAUAAGGAUCGGCUAACUCCGUGCCAGCAGCAGC